rnacentral:rRNA from 1 species
UGGGGAAUCUUGCGCAAUGGGCGAAAGCCUGACGCAGCCAUGCCGCGUGGAUGAUGAAGGUCUUAGGAUUGUAAAAUCCUUUCACCGGUGAAGAUAAUGACUGUAGCCGGAGAAGAAGCCCCGGCUAACUUCGUGCCAGCAGCCGCGGUAAUACGAAGGGGGCUAGCGUUGCUCGGAAUUACUGGGCGUAAAGGGAGCGUAGGCGGACAUUUAAGUCAGGGGUGAAAUCCCGAGGCUCAACCUCGGAACUGCCUUUGAUACUGGGUGUCUUGAGUGUGAGAGAGGUAUGUGGAACUCCGAGUGUAGAGGUGAAAUUCGUAGAUAUUCGGAAGAACACCAGUGGCGAAGGCGACAUACUGGCUCAUUACUGACGCUGAGGCUCGAAAGCGUGGGGAGCAAACAGGAUUAGAUACCCCUGGUAGUCCACGCCGUAAAGCGAUGAUUGCUAGUUGUCGGGAANCUUGCUUUUUCGGUGACGCAGCUAACGCAUUAAGCAAUCCGCCUGGGGAGUACGGUCGCAAGAUUAAAACUCAAAGGAAUUGACGGGGUCAUAGCUGUUU